rnacentral:rRNA from 1 species
GACGAACGCUGGCGGCGUGCUUAACACAUGCAAGUCGAACGGAAAGGCCCUGCUUUUGUGGGGUGCUCGAGUGGCGAAAGGGUGAGUAACACGUGAGUAACCUGCCCUUGACUUUGGGAUAACUUCAGGAAACUGGGGCUAAUACCGGAUAGGAGCUCCUGCUGCAUGGUGGGGGUUGGAAAGUUUCGGCGGUUGGGGAUGGACUCGCGGCUUAUCAGCUUGUUGGUGGGGUAGUGGCUUACCAAGGCUUUGACGGGUAGCCGGCCUGAGAGGGUGACCGGCCACAUUGGGACUGAGAUACGGCCCAGACUCCUACGGGCGGCAGCAGUGGGGAAUAUUGCACAAUGGGCGGAAGCCUGAUGCAGCAACGCCGCGUGCGGGAUGACGGCCUUCGGGUUGUAAACCGCUUUCGCCUGUGACGAAGCGUGAGUGACGGUAAUGGGUAAAGAAGCACCGGCUAACUACGUG